UACGAAGGGGGCUAGCGUUGUUCGGAAUUACUGGGCGUAAAGCGCGCGCAGGCGGUUCUCCAAGUCAGUGGUGAAAGCCCGGAGCUCAACUCCGGAACUGCCAUUGAAACUGUUGAACUUGAGGACGAGAGAGGUGAGUGGAAUUCCCAGUGUAGAGGUGAAAUUCGUAGAGAUCGGGAGGAAUAUCAGUGGCAGAAGGCGCCAUCUGGAUCAACACUGACGCUGAGGCACGAAAGCGUGGGGAGCAAACAGG
rnacentral:rRNA from 1 species